UCAUCCUGACCCCUCGGCAGAAACGCCGUAGCUAGCGGUAGGGGAUCGGGUUUGGUCCUUUUUUUAUUUUUUUGGUUGCCCAAAACCCCGGUGAGAUGGGAUGUAGAUGGCUCAGAGCCUCAGUAAGCGGAGAGGGGACUCGUCCCUUGGUCAUCCGAACCCGGCGCAGAAUUACAGCCAGGCCGUGUCCUCCCGGGAUGAAUCACCGCAGCCGAGAAGUCAAAGAAGGGAAAAAAAAA